AUGUGCGCGCCGGGGCGGUGGAAGCUCAGCGCCGGUGGCGUCCCCAUCCCCCCGCUGCCCGACGUCGACGUGCGCCCUGACUACUUCGCCGACGAGGUCGACCGCGUGCGGGCGUCGCUGACGGAGGAGCAGCGGGCCCUCUCGCAGUACGCCGCCGGCAACCACGAAGCGUGGGCGGCGUACUUCCAGCACCGGCAGGCGCAACGGCUGGGCUCCACCAACAACGCGCCGGUGGUGCGGGAGACCAAGAACAGCGAGGGUCGCCGCCUGUGGUGGGGCGCCCCCGGCCGCACGCUCCACGCCGUUCUCCGGCACCUCGAGGGCAGCAACGACCCGCCGUUGACGUACCCUGCCGCCCUGGUCCGGAGCGGCGGCCAAUGGAUGCUGAGGAGGACAGCGUCCUCUUCUUCUUCCUCCUCCCGCUCCUCCUCACACUCCUCCGGGUCGCUGGCGCUGUUCAGCGUCAAGGCCGAGCCCGCGGAGACGCUGCUCGGCCGGCGCACCCGCAGCGCCGACAUCGUCAUCAACGAGGGAGGGCACGCCUCCUCCUCGGCUCCUCCCUGCUUCGUCAAGCCGAAGAUAGAGCCAGGACUCGCGCCUCCAUGA
rnacentral:rRNA from 1 species